UCCGGCGUAGCUCAGCGGUAGAGCAGGUCGCUGUUAACGACAAGGUCGCUGGUUCGAACCCAGCCGCCGGAGCCA
rnacentral:tRNA from 1 species